ACCUCCUUCCAGGCUCUUCACC
rnacentral:misc_RNA from 1 species